GACGAACGCUGGCGGCGUGCUUAACACAUGCAAGUCGAACGGAAAGGCCCUGCUUGCAGGGUACUCGAGUGGCGAACGGGUGAGUAACACGUGGGUGAUCUGCCCUGCACUUCGGGAUAAGCUUGGGAAACUGGGUCUAAUACCGGAUAGGAGCCAUCUUUAGUGUGGUGGUUGGAAAGUUUUUUCGGUGUAGGAUGAGCUCGCGGCCUAUCAGCUUGUUGGUGGGGUAAUGGCCUACCAAGGCGGCGACGGGUAGCCGGCCUGAGAGGGUGUACGGCCACGUUGGGACUGAGAUACGGCCCAGACUCCUACGGGGGGCAGCAGUGGGGAAUAUUGCACAAUGGGCGCAAGCCUGAUGCAGCGACGCCGCGUGGGGGAUGAAGGCCUUCGGGUUGUAAACUCCUUUCGCUAGGGACGAAGCUUUGUUGUGACGGUACCUAGAUAAGAAGCACCGGCUAACUACGUG
rnacentral:rRNA from 1 species